rnacentral:rRNA from 1 species
GAUGAACGCUGGCGGCGUGCCUAAUACAUGCAAGUCGAGCGAACGGACGAGAAGCUUGCUUCUCUGAUGUUAGCGGCGGACGGGUGAGUAACACGUGGAUAACCUACCUAUAAGACUGGGAUAACUUCGGGAAACCGGAGCUAAUACCGGAUGAUAUUUUGAACCGCAUGGUUCAAAAGUGAAAGACGGUCUUGCUGUCACUUAUAGAUGGAUCCGCGCUGCAUUAGCUAGUUGGUAAGGUAACGGCUUACCAAGGCAACGAUGCAUAGCCGACCUGAGAGGGUGAUCGGCCACACUGGAACUGAGAAACGGUCCAGACUCCUACGGGAGGCAGCAGUAGGGACUCUUCCGCAAUGGGCGAAGGCCUGACGGAGCAACGUCGCGUGAGUGAUGAAGGUCUUCGGAUCGUAAAACUCUGUUAUUAGGGAAGAACAUAUGUGUAAGUACCUGUGCACAUCUUGACGGUACCUAAUCAGAAAGCCACGGCUAACUACGUG